CAGUAGCCGCGGUAAUACGAAGGGUGCAAGCGUUAAUCGGAAUUACUGGGCGUAAAGCGUGCGCAGGCGGUUUGUUAAGACAGAUGUGAAAUCCCCGGGCUCAACCUGGGAACUGCAUUUGUGACUGGCAGGCUAGAGUAUGGCAGAGGGGGGUGGAAUUCCGCGUGUAGCAGUGAAAUGCGUAGAUAUGCGGAGGAACACCGAUGGCGAAGGCAGCCCCCUGGGCCAAUACUGACGCUCAUGCACGAAAGCGUGGGGAGCAAACAGGAUUAGAGACCCGCGUAGUCCCUGUCUCUUAUAC
rnacentral:rRNA from 1 species